rnacentral:sRNA from 1 species
UGAAGAAACAAUAACCAAAGUAGUACAC